rnacentral:rRNA from 1 species
ACGUACCGGAACGGUGCUAAUACCGCAUAGUUUUCUUGAUCGCAUGAUCGGGAAAGGAAAGACGGCCUUUGUGCUGUCGCUUAUGGAUGGACCCGCGGCGUAUUAGUUAGUUGGUGAGGUAACGGCUCACCAAGACGAUGAUACGUAGCCGACCUGAGAGGGUGAUCGGCCACAUUGGGACUGAGACACGGCCCAAACUCCUACGGGAGGCAGCAGUAGGGAAUCUUCCGCAAUGGACGAAAGUCUGACGGAGCAACGCCGCGUGAGUGAAGAAGGUUUUUUCCGGAUCGUAAAACUCUGUUGUCAGAGAAGAACAAGUUGGAGAGUAACUGCUCCAGCCUUGACGGUAUCUGACCAGAAAGCCACGGCUAACUACGUGCCAGCCGCAGC